UACGUAGGGUGCAAGCGUUGUCCGGAAUUAUUGGGCGUAAAGAGCUCGUAGGCGGUUUUGUCGCGUCGAAUGUGAAAACCCGGGGCUCAACCCCCGGGCCUGCAGCCGAUACGGGCAAGCUAGAAUUCGGUAGGGGAGACUGGAAUUCCUGGUGUAGCGGUGAAAUGCGCAGAUAUCAGGAGGAACACCGGUGGCGAAGGCGGGUCUCUGGGCCGAUAUUGACGCUGAGGAGCGAAAGCAUGGGAGCGAACAGG
rnacentral:rRNA from 1 species